GGGACGCUCCGGGGCGAGGAGUUUUCGGUCUGCAGUCACCCGGCCCCGGGAGCCAAGCUAGAGGAGGAAGACGGGCCGGGACAGGGGUGGUGCUCGCCAGGCCCCCUACAACCUGGGCACCCGCUAGCUCUUUCGUCCCCGCACCCCGACGCUGGGCACACAACUCCGGCUGCUUCCCGAGCGCCGCUCCGGGAGCGAGCACAUCCCUGCAGCUGUCUGCCGGACAGGUCUUGGGGGACGGCGGCCCCUUUUUUGCAGCGGGUGGGGCGAGAAGCUACGGGAUGUGGAGCUUCCAGAUAAGGGAGUGUCCCUGCCCGCCGCACUGCAAGGGCGGCUGAGCGAUUAGGCGCGGCUAGCGGAACCGAGCGGCGGUGGCUGGGCUUUCCCCACGCUCCCGUCACUAGUUAAGCCGCCAGCCCCGUGGCAGCCGCUCCACAGCCCACUCCCGGGCCUGGGCUCUGACCCGAACGGCUGGCUCCGCCCUGUUGCACCUCAUAACAUCUCCCGCUGCAAACCGUCCAAUCCGGUGACGCUACGACAGUAUGCGACCCAAUCAAGGGCUACCGCUCAAGCCUUCUACCCCGCCCCUCAGCCUCCCCUUCCCACUCCAUCUCGGGAGGUGGCUCACCAGCUCUGAUCCCUAGAGGAGCCUCUAGCUCUGGGGAUAGUGCUUGGCACCUCUUCACCACCCCACCCCUGUCCUCUCCCCGUCUUAUGCACACCCCCCCUCCAGGUCUCUGCCCUGCUGAUGCUGUUGAGGGUCCUUUCGAUCCUCAUUGACAGCUUUUGUGUCUGCCACCAUCCUGAGAGAACAGAACAAAAACCAAGAUGCUGUGGAACGUGUUACCUUUUUC
rnacentral:lncRNA from 1 species